UACGUAGGGUGCGAGCGUUGUCCGGAAUUAUUGGGCGUAAAGGGCUCGUAGGCGGUUUGUCGCGUCGGGAGUGAAAUCCACUGGCUUAACUGGUGGCUUGCUUUCGAUACGGGCAGACUGGAGGUAUGCAGGGGAGAACGGAAUUCCUGGUGUAGCGGUGAAAUGCGUAGAUAUCUGGAGGAAUACCGGUGGCGAAGGCGGCAUCCUGGACCGGCAUUGACGCUGAUGAGCGAAAGCUAGGGGAGCAAACGGG
rnacentral:rRNA from 1 species